rnacentral:lncRNA from 1 species
GCCGGAGAUCCGGACCCAUCCUCACCCAGCUUCUUGCAGCAGAAGAGACAUCCGGACCCAUCCUCACCCAGCUUCUUGCAGCAGAAGAGAGGAGAAUGACACCAUGCAGGAGAUGACCACAGGGACACAGGGUCAAGGAGCUGGACCCCAGCUUUCAAGGUGCAGCACAUGAGCCCAGAGUCUUUCCCAGUAUCAGAGUCUUCGUUCAACUGAAAACACCUUUAGGUCAGAGAGCUCCACAAGGGACCACAGCCCCGAGGCUCACUGCGAACACGUCUGCUCAGACCUGCCAGGUCUUGGAGCCUCCAGGACCUCCCUGCGUUGUGUCCGUGUGUCCACAGGAUUUUGGAUGAUGUGCUGU